CCCUUAGAUGUUCUGGGCCGCACGCGCGCUACACUGACGAAUGCAACGAGCUUAUAACCUUGGCCGAAAGGUCUGGGUAAUCUCCAAAUUUCGUCGUGAUGGGGAUAGAUUAUUGCAAUUAUUAAUCUUCAACGAGGGAUGCCUAGUAAGCGCAAGUCAUCAGCUUGCGUUGAUUACGUCCCUGCCCUUUGUACACACCGCCCGUCGCUCCUACCGAUUGAAUGGUCCGGUGAAGCGUUCGGACCGUGGCCUUUGGACGGUUCGCCGUCUGUUGGCUGCGGGAAGUUCGUUAAACCUUAUCAUUUAGAGGAAGGAGAAGUCGUAACA
rnacentral:rRNA from 1 species